rnacentral:rRNA from 1 species
AGUUUGAUCCUGGCUCAGGAUGAACGCUAGCGGCAGGCUUAAUACAUGCAAGUCGAGGGGCAGCACAGGUAGCAAUACUGGGUGGCGACCGGCAAACGGGUGCGGAACACGUACGCAACCUUCCCAAAACUGGUGAAUAGCCCUCCGAAAGGAGGAUUAAUACACCGUACCAUAGCGAGGAGGCAUCUCCUUGCUAUUAUAGUAGCAAUACGGUUUUGGAUGGGCGUGCGCCUGAUUAGGUAGUUGGUGCGGGUAACGGCCCACCAAGCCUUCGAUCAGUAACUGGUGUGAGAGCACGACCAGUCACACGGGCACUGAGACACGGGCCCGACUCCUACGGGAGGCAGCAGUAAGGAAUAUUGGUCAAUGGACGCAAGUCUGAACCAGCCAUGCCGCGUGAAGGAUGAAGGCCCUCUGGGUUGUAAACUUCUUUUAUCUGGGACGAAAAACGGGCUUUCUAGCUCACUUGACGGUACCAGAGGAAUAAGCACCGGCUAACUCCGUGCCAGCAGCCGCGGUAAUACGGAGGGUGCAAGCGUUAUCCGGAUUUACUGGGUUUAAAGGGUGCGUAGGUGGGUAGGUAAGUCAGUGGCGAAAUCUUCAAGCUUAACUUGGAAACUGCCAUUGAUACUAUUUAUCUUGAAUAUCCCGGAGGUAAGCGGAAUAUGUCAUGUAGCGGUGAAAUGCUUAGAUAUGACAUAGAACACCCAUUGCGAAGGCAGCUUACUACAGGAUUAUUGACACUGAGGCACGAAAGCGUGGGGAUCAAACAGGAUUAGAUACCCUGGUAGUCCACGCCCUAAACGAUGGAUACUCGACAUCAGCGAUACACUGUUGGUGUCUGAGCGAAAGCAUUAAGUAUCCCACCUGGGAAGUACGAUCGCAGAUGAAACUCAAAGGAAUUGACGGGGUCCGCACAAGCGGUG